rnacentral:rRNA from 1 species
AUUGGACGCUGGCGGCAGGCCUAACACAUGCAAGUCGAGCGCGAAAGUUCUUCGGAAUGAGUAAAGCGGCGGACGGGUGAGUAAUACAUGGGAAUCUGCCUGGUAGUGGGGGACAACGUUUCGAAAGGAACGCUAAUACCGCAUACGCCCUACGGGGGAAAGGGGGGGAUCUUCGACGCCUCUCGCUAUCAGAUGAGCCC